GCAGUGGGUUCGGCUGACUUGACAAUGGGCCCGGGAAAUCCCAAAUCUCCUUAGAAAUCUGACAGUCCAGAAGGAGAAAAAGGUGGCAAAAACAGCCACAGGAUGACGAACUCCACCCUGGAAUUAGAAGAGAGAGGGAAAAAAAAGAAGAAAAAGACAAGCUAUUGGGUAAUUUUGCAGGACAGACCUGAUCAUCUACCCACAUUGGGAGAGUUAUAAAGUAAUUCUUUUUUGAACUACGUAACGAAAUGAUGCAUG
rnacentral:lncRNA from 1 species